rnacentral:lncRNA from 1 species
GACAAAUGUGACUCUGGGUCUGAAGCAGGUCAAAGCUCCACUUGUAAGAAUUGUAAAACAACAACUUGCAGAAGAAAAGAAGACAUCUUCUAAACCUUGACUUGAAGUUGAUUUCUUAGGUACGUCACCAAAACAUAGCCAAGGGAAGGGGCGGGGGGGGGGGGGGGGGACAGAUACACAAAUUGAACUUAAUAAAAGUGAAGAAUUGUUCCGCCACAGAGAACACAAUAGACAGAUGCACGGAAUGGCAAAAAAAUGCUUUCCUAGCUCUGCUGCUUGAGGCCUGAGUUAGUCACAGCUGUGCACCACCACACUUGGCCACUUCGGUUUUCUAUAAACCUUUUAUGCAUAGCCUGUAGGUAUUUUUAUACAGUUUUCCCCGGUGUGCUUACACCUGGACUACAACAGAUAGCCUGAGGCUAAGUGUGAAAGUUUCUACACCAAGUGGAUGCUCAAAGGGGGUUUGUAGGGGGGACUUUAGAGAAUUUUGGAUUUUUAAUGUUUAGAUUAGAUAUUAGGAUAUUAGGUAACUUGCUAGGAUAUGGUGACAGCAACAGUAACUUUGCCCUUUUGAUUCAGCCUGGGACACCAGCCCAUGGGAUAAUGCCACCCACAUUUAUGAUGGAGCUUCCCACCUCAUUUGACUUAGUCACUUAGGACUCCCUCAGAGAUCUGCUGGCAGGCUUGGUUCCAGGUGACUCUGGAUCCCAGGAAGCUGACAGUCAAAACCAUCACAGGUGUUUAAGGAGAAUCAGCCCACCCCUCUCUCCAAAAGUGCGAGCGCUCCCUCACGGUUUAUCAAGCUGCCUUAACCCAAGUUUCAACUCCAGCUGAUUUUUCAGCCCUUCUGGAAUUUAUCUCCUCUCUGACAACUUUCUGUCAAUGCAUGCCCUCUGGUCCAACCAAGGUUUUGUUUCCUGGGUCUCUCCUGCAGAUAUUCACCUGGAAUGCCCUCUUCUA